CCUAGGGGUGGCAGCAGUGGGGAAUAUUGGGCAAUGGACGCAAGUCUGACCCAGCAACGCCGCGUGAAGGAAGAAGGCUUUCGGGUUGUAAACUUCUUUUAAGGGGGACGAGCAGAAGCCGGUACCCCUUGAAUAAGCCACGGCUAACUACGAGACAGCCGCCGCGGUAAUACGUAGGUGGCACGCGUUGUCUGGAUUUACUGGGUGUAAAGGGCGUGCAGCCGGAGAGACAAGUCAGAUGUGAAAUCCACGGGCUCAACCCGUGAAAAGCAUUUGAAAUUGUUUCCCUUGAGUGUCGGAGCAGUAAUCGGAAUGCCUGGUGUAGCGGGGAAAUGCGUAGAUAUAAGGAAGAACACCGGUGGCGAAGGCGGAUUACUGGACGAUUACUGACGGUGAGGCGCGAAAGCGUGGGGAUCAAACAGGAUUAGAUACCCUUGUAGUC
rnacentral:rRNA from 1 species